CAAUAUGUACAAGUUAUCUUCACACGUUGUUAAGCUGGUUAGGCAGAACAGUACAACAUUUUUUCAUACUAUGAAUUGAAGCUAAAGUCCAGGCAAACAGCUAAAUAGACAGUUGAAAUAUGCACAUGUUAACCGUUUACCUGCAAAACGGUUGUGUUUU